rnacentral:rRNA from 1 species
GACGACCGCUGGCGGCGUGCCUAAUACAUGCAAGUCGAGGGACCGGCGCACGGGUGAGUAACACGUUUCCAACCUGCCCUUUACUCGGGGAUAGCCUUUCGAAAGAAAGAUUACUACCCAAUCUAAAGUAUGGGGAUGGGUUCCAUUAUGUUGUGGGUGAGUUAACGGCUCACCAAGCCUUAGAUGGAUAGGGGUUCUGAGAGGAAGGACCCCCACAUAGGAACUGAGACACGGUCCUAACUCCUACGGGAGGCAUCAGUGAGGAAUAUUGGGAAAUGGGCUCUAGCCUGAUCCAGCCAAGUAGCGUGAAGUAUUAAGGCUUAUGGGUCGUAAACUUCUUUGAUAUAAGAAUAUGUAUUAUAUGAAUAAGGAUCGGCUAACUCCGUGCCAGCCGCCGCGGUAAUAC